AAUGUGUGUGUUUUAAAAAUUUUUUAAUAAUGGCAACACAUCGCAAGACAUUCGUUGAAUGCAAACUGUUGAAUGAUUCAUAAAUCCUUUCCUUCGAUCCUAGACCUUGAAUAAACUAAAGAGAAACAUGCAUAACUAAGAUAUUAAAUCUAAAGAUUACAAGAAAUUCUGUGAAAUUGAUAUGGACAAAAAGAUGAUGAUUACUUAGCGCAACGCAAUAAGUGCCGUUAUCUCUUGAUUUAUUUACAACCUUGUCACUGUAAGUGGCACCAUUGAACUUUUAUAAAUAAUACAAAGUUUAAACUUCUUAACCACUUCUUAUCCAACUUCUUAUCU